rnacentral:rRNA from 1 species
AACGAACGCUGGCGGCAUGCCUAACACAUGCAAGUCGAACGAGACCUUCGGGUCUAGUGGCGCACGGGUGCGUAACGCGUGGGAACCUGCCCUUAGGUUCGGAAUAACUCCCCGAAAGGGGUGCUAAUACCGGAUAAUGUCUUCGGACCAAAGAUUUAUCGCCUUUGGAUGGGCCCGCGUUGGAUUAGCUAGUUGGUAGGGUAAAAGCCUACCAAGGCGACGAUCCAUAGCUGGUCUGAGAGGAUGAUCAGCCACACUGGGACUGAGACACGGCCCAGACUCCUACGGGAGGCAGCAGUGGGGAAUAUUGGACAAUGGGCGAAAGCCUGAUCCAGCAAUGCCGCGUGAGUGAUGGAGGCCUUAGGGUUGUAAAGCUCUUUUACCCGGGAUGAUAAUGACAGUACCGGGAGAAUAAGCACCGGCUAACUCCGUG